rnacentral:rRNA from 1 species
UGAANGAANNGGCCUUUCGGGUUGGUAAANGUNNCUUUCAGCAGUUGAAGGAAGGUUGGAUAUGUUAAUAGCAUAUUCAUUUGACGUUAGCUGCAGAAGAAGCCCCGGCUAACUUCCGUGCCAGCAGCCGCGGUAAUACGGAGGGUGCGAGCGUUAUUCGGAAUUACUGGGCGUAAAGCGCAUGCAGGUGGUUUGUUAAGUCAGAUGUGAAAGCCCGGGGCUCAACCUCGGAAUUGCAUUUGAAACUGGCAAACUAGAGUACUGUAGAGGGGGGUAGAAUUUCAGGUGUAGCGGUGAAAUGCGUAGAGAUCUGAAGGAAUACCGGUGGCGAAGGCGGCCCCCUGGACAGAUACUGACACUCAGAUGCGAAAGCGUGGGGAGCAAACAGGAUUAGAUACCCUGGUAGUCCACGCCGUAAACGAUGUCUACUUGGAGGUUGUGGCCUUGAGCCGUGGCUUUCGGAGCUAACGCGUUAAGUAGACCGCCUGGGGAGUACGGUCGCAAGAUUAAAACUCAAAUGAAUUGACGGGGGCCCGCACAAGCGGUGGAGCAUGUGGUUUAAUUCGAUGCAACGCGAAGAACCUUACCUACUCUUGACAUCUACAGAAGCCAGCGGAGACGCAGGUGUGCCUUCGGGAACUGUAAGACAGGUGCUGCAUGGCUGUCGUCAGCUCGUGUUGUGAAAUGUUGGGUUAAGUCCCGCAACGAGCGCAACCCUUAUCCUUGUUUGCCAGCACUUCGGGUGGGAACUCCAGGGAGACUGCCGGUGAUAAACCGGAGGAAGGUGGGGACGACGUCAAGUCAUCAUGGCCCUUACGAGUAGGGCUACACACGUGCUACAAUGGCGCAUACAGAGGGCGGCCAACUUGCGAAAGUGAGCGAAUCCCAAAAAGUGCGUCGUAGUCCGGAUUGGAGUCUGCAACUCGACUCCAUGAAGUCGGAAUCGCUAGUAAUCGUGGAUCAGAAUGCCACGGUGAAUACGUUCCCGGGCCUUGUACACACCGCCCGUCACACCAUGGGAGUGGGCUGCAAAAGAAGUGGGUAGUUUAACCUUCGGGAGGACGCUCACCACUUUGUGGUUCAUGACUGGGGUGAAGUCGUAACAAGGUAACCG